AAGGCUGGUACAGGUACAUGAACAAAUUGUUACCAUGGGAAUCUCCAUGGUCUCAUAUUUGAUAUCCGAAAUUGUUAUCGUGGGAAUCUCCACGCCGGGAAUUACCCGUUGAAUAUUGUUCUUUACCUGUACAUAUUGAUUGUAUUGUUUAUUCUGAUCAUACUGACAUGCCUUAUAUUUUGGCCUAUUAUCCCUUUUCGAACGAUCAUUCUCUAGAUGGUCCAAUUCCAACUCCAAUUCCUUGAACGCUUAUAUUGUGAUUAUUAUUUGAUUCGACUGUUUUUCCCCGUACUCCUC
rnacentral:lncRNA from 1 species